CGCGUAGGCGGGGAGGUAAGUCGGGUGUGAAAUCCCUCGGCCCAACCGAGGAACUGCGCCCGAGACUGCUUCUCUUGAGUCCCGGAGAGGAAGAUGGAAUUCCCGGUGUAGCGGUGAAGUGUGUAGAGAUCGGGAGGAACACCGGUGGCGAAGGCGGUCUUCUGGACGGUGACUGACGCUGAGGCGCGAAAGCGUGGGGAGCAAACGG
rnacentral:rRNA from 1 species